CAACACAAAUUUUAAUGUACGUGUUAGUAAUUCUCAGCAAAUGUUACACUUCCAUUUCUACUAUUCUAGUAUUAAUUUAGACAUACGAACAGCUGAUAAAAGAACAAUUACAAUUAACUUGGCAGUUUAAUGUGAUUGCUUGCAAGUUGGCCUUUAUUUUAACAUUUUCCUCUGUGAGUGUUACUGGGAAUGUAAUUUGUGUUUUUCCUUCAAUCAACGCAGUUUAAAAUUGAAUAAUCUCACAGAUGGCUGCGUGGAAAUCUUAAUCUCUGCUCUUCGUGAAAAUACUGUGCUGUUAAAAAUGGACAUCAGCAAUGAUGAUCUAAAUGGUGACCAUGCCAACAGGCUGACAGAUCAAUCUGUUCCUGCACUAUGCCAGUUCAUUCAGAGUUGCACACAAAUGACUGAAAUCAACUUGAAGAACAAUCUAUUCUCUGCGAAAGGACUGAAAAGGUUGAAGUGGAUUCAUGCAUCAAAUGAUUUAACUGUAAUAACAGAAUGAAAGAGGCAAACCUGAUGACGAUUGUGAUUCUUUUCAAAGGAAACUGUGGCCUUUCCAAGUGUAUCUCUGUCUACAUGGUAGCCAUGGCAACAGCAGAUCUAUUGGUGAUGCUCAUCAAUGUGAUGCUAUAUCACAUUUUCACCUUUCAUUUUCCAUUUUCAUUAUUGGCCUUAACUCCCAUUUGCAAGAUAAUUUUAUAUUUAACCUCCGUCACCAUCGACUUGUCCGUUUGGUUCACCGUCAGCUUCACAUUUGACAGGUUUGUAAUUAUCUGCUGCCAAAAGCUUAGAACAAGCCAUUGCACCCAGAAAACUGCAGUGACCGUUACAGUAUCAUUCUGUGU